AAGCAGGAUAUAGUUACAAUGUAGCUGUGAAGUGCUACAUUGUCUUUGCUGCCUGCUCAAAAUAAGACUGUUUCCUUCCAAGCCCUGUCCGCAGUGGUGCCCCAGCAGCCAGGGAUGUGUAGUCUCAUACAU
ensembl:snoRNA SNORA63 Small nucleolar RNA SNORA63